AACGAACGCUGGCGGCAGGCUUAACACAUGCAAGUCGAACGCCCCGCAAGGGGAGUGGCAGACGGGUGAGUAACGCGUGGGAAUCUACCUAGUUCUACGGAACAACACAGGGAAACUUGUGCUAAUACCGUAUACGCCCUACGGGGGAAAGAUUUAUCGGAAUUAGAUGAGCCCGCGUUGGAUUAGCUAGUUGGUGGGGUAAUGGCCUACCAAGGCGACGAUCCAUAGCUGGUCUGAGAGGAUGAUCAGCCACACUGGGACUGAGACACGGCCCAGACUACUACGAGAGGCAGCAGUGGGGAAUAUUGGACAAUGGGCGAAAGCCUGAUCCAGCCAUGCCGCGUGAGUGAUGAAGGCCUUAGGGUUGUAAAGCUCUUUCAGUAGGGAAGAUAAUGACGGUACCUACAGAAGAAGCCCCGGCUAACUUCGUGCCAGCAGCCGCCGUAA
rnacentral:rRNA from 1 species